rnacentral:rRNA from 1 species
UACGUAGGUGGCAAGCGUUGUCCGGAUUUACUGGGCGUAAAGAGCGCGCAGGCGGUCAGAUAAGUCGAAUGUGAAAGCCCCCGGCUCAACUGGGGAGGGUCAUUCGAUACUGUUCGACUCGAAGGCAGGAGAGGGAAGCGGAAUUCCCGGUGUAGUGGUGAAAUGCGUAGAUAUCGGGAGGACCACCAGGGGCGAAGGCGGCUUCCUGGCCUGUACUUGACGCUGAGGCGCGAAAGCUAGGGGAGCAAACAGG